rnacentral:tRNA from 1 species
UAGAUURAAGCCCGCUGGAUUGGGUUUUUAGUUGUUAACUAAAGGUUUAUGGGAUCAAGGCCCGUCGAUCUAG